AAAUUGAUAACACGAGUAACUGAGAUUUGCACAUGAAUUGGUUGUGUGAGAUGUUUUAAAAUUAAAAUCCUGACACUACCAAGAAAAUCCGUGCCAAGGUCUACUGGUAACAUGGCACGUUUUUAAAAUAUUUCCUCAUUGUCCUCAGUCAAACAUGUACAUCAGGCCCUGUUGGUAGAAAUCAGCGCAGACAGUGUCUUUUUUUCUCUUUUUCACAAAAAAACGUCCUUAAAACAAUGGUUUUCACUUGGCAGACACAUUGUAAAAUAAAUAUCUUAAUGAAGUAUUAUUCAGGCUUUGUUGUGCCUUUUCAUGGAUGACUAGCUCACGUUCAAGCAGAAACAACAGUAUGAUUGCCAGGAAGUUAAGGGGUGGCAGUAAAGUGCAACUUCAUUAAACCCACAACCCAUUAAGUCCACUCACCUCAUGUAACAUCCUAGAUAAAGCUAAAUGAUCAACAACUGUUUUGUGUUUUACUUGAUAAACUUAGGUUGCUGUCACUGAUGGAAAGCCGUUGACUCAUUUCACUCAACACUUCAGUCUGAGGCGAUAUCUUAUGUUUUAACCCUUGUGUUAUCUUCGGGUCAUUCUGACCCAUCAGUCAUUGUGACCCACCGUCGUAUUGCGACAGAUUUACUGCAUACAAAGACAAAGUGAAGCAUUUUCUUUUAACAGCUAGGCUGUCUCAGACCCCCCACAUUGCAAAGGUUAAAAGAAAAUUAUUUUAAUUUGUUUUUGUAUUGGGUAAAAUUGGGUAAACACAACGAUGGUUCAUUAUGAACCUUUGGGUCAUGUGACCCGAAGGCAGCACGAGGGUUAAGAUCCUUCAGCCUUAAGUAGGGCAAACAGAGAGAGCACGUGUGCCAUUACUUUGACAAUAACUGAUAAGUUUUGUAUUUCCUGAUGUAAGAUACUCAUAACACAAGGGUUAAAUGAACACUGAAGGGGGUAAAAGGGAGCAGGUUUACUGAUGUGUUGAAUUCUGUCAGAUAGUAAAUUCUAUUUAACCCUUGUGCUGUCUUCGGGUCACAUGACCCAAAGGUUCAUAACGAACCAUCGUUGUGUUUACCCAAAUUUACCCAAUACAAAAACAAAUAAAAAUAAUUUUCUUUUAACCUUCGCAAUGUGGGGGGUCUGAGACAGCCCACCGGUUAAAAGAAAAUGCUUCACUUUGUUUUUGUAUGCGGUAAAGUUGUCGCAAUACAACGGUGGGUCACAAUGACUGAUGGGUCAGAAUGACCCGAAGAUAACACAAGGGUUAAAGGGAAAUAUUUUUAUUUUAUGGGGUGAAUUUGUAAUCUGAUGAACAAACACUGUUUUAUCCUGUGGUUGAAAACCCCAUGACUACUCAGCGCCUACCCUAAGUAUUGGUAUAAUUAUAAUGCAUAACAUUGUCAGUUUUAUCAUACAGUGUGCAAAAAUCCCUGCUUAAUAAACAUAAAGAAUCGCCUGAUCCAGAAUAUAAUUUUUGUUCA